rnacentral:rRNA from 1 species
UACAGAGGGGGCAAGCGUUGUUCGGAAUCACUGGGCUUAAAGGGCGCGUAGGCGGGCUACCAAGUCUGUGGUGAAAUCCUCCAGCUCAACUGGAGAACGGCCGUGGAUACUGGUGGUCUCGAGGGAGAUAGGGGCAAGCGGAACUGUGCGUGGAGCGGUGAAAUGCGUUGAUAUGCACAGGAACUCCGGUGGCGAAGGCGGCUUGCUGGAUCUCUUCUGACGCUGAGGCGCGAAAGCUAGGGGAGCGAACGGG